CUGGAAGCAUCACAAUUCUGGGCUUCAAGUUAUAUGACAAAGCUAUAGUGAUUAAGACAGUAUGGUACUGGCACAUAAACUGACAAAUAGACAAAU